rnacentral:rRNA from 1 species
AUUGAACGCUGGCGGCAGGCCUAACACAUGCAAGUCGAGCGGAUGAAGGGAGCUUGCUCCUGGAUUCAGCGGCGGACGGGUGAGUAAUGCCUAGGAAUCUGCCUGGUCGUGGGGGAUAACGUCCGGAAACGGGCGCUAAUACCGCAUACGUCCUGAGGGAGAAAGUGGGGGAUCUUCGGACCUCACGCUAUCAGAUGAGCCUAGGUCGGAUUAGCUAGUUGGUGGGGUAAAGGCCUACCAAGGCGACGAUCCGUAACUGGUCUGAGAGGAUGAUCAGUCACACUGGAACUGAGACACGGUCCAGACUCCUACGGGAGGCAGCAGUGGGGAAUAUUGGACAAUGGGCGAAAGCCUGAUCCAGCCAUGCCGCGUGUGUGAAGAAGGUCUUCGGAUUGUAAAGCACUUUAAGUUGGGAGGAAGGGCAGUAAGUUAAUACCUUGCUGUUUUGACGUUACCAACAGAAUAAGCACCGGCUAACUUCGUG